rnacentral:rRNA from 1 species
AUGAACGCUAGCUACAGGCUUAACACAUGCAAGUCGAGGGGCAUCAGUUUGGUUUGCUUGCAAACCAAAGCUGGCGACCGGCGCACGGGUGAGUAACACGUAUCCAACCUGCCUCAUACUCGGGGAUAGCCUUUCGAAAGAAAGAUUAAUAUCCGAUAGCAUAUAUUUCCCGCAUGGGUUUUAUAUUAAAGAAAUUCGGUAUGAGAUGGGGAUGCGUUCCAUUAGUUUGUUGGGGGGGUAACGGCCCACCAAGACUACGAUGGAUAGGGGUUCUGAGAGGAAGGUCCCCCACAUUGGAACUGAGACACGGUCCAAACUCCUACGGGAGGCAGCAGUGAGGAAUAUUGGUCAAUGGACGCGAGUCUGAACCAGCCAAGUAGCGUGAAGGAUGACUGCCCUAUGGGUUGUAAACUUCUUUUAUAUGGGAAUAAAGUUGUCCACGUGUGGAUUUUUGUAUGUACCAUAUGAAUAAGGAUCGGCUAACUCCGUGCCAGCAGCCGCGGUAAUACGGAGGAUCCGAGCGUUAUCCGGAUUUAUUGGGUUUAAAGGGAGCGUAGGCGGAUUGUUAAGUCAGUUGUGAAAGUUUGCGGCUCAACCGUAAAAUUGCAGUUGAUACUGGUUUCCUUGAGUGCAGUUGAGGCAGGCGGAAUUCGUGGUGUAGCGGUGAAAUGCUUAGAUAUCACGAAGAACUCCGAUUGCGAAGGCAGCUCACUGGAGUGUAACUGACGCUGAUGCUCGAAAGUGUGGGUAUCAAACAGGAUUAGAUACCCUGGUAGUCCACACAGUAAACGAUGAAUACUCGCUGUUUGCGAUAUACAGUAAGCGGCCAAGCGAAAGCAUUAAGUAUUCCACCUGGGGAGUACGCCGGCAACGGUGAAACUCAAAGGAAUUGACGGGGGCCCGCACAAGCAGUGGAGUAUGUGGUUUAAUUCGAAGCAACGCGAAGAACCUUACCAGGGCUUGACAUAUAGAGGAAUAUGUUAGAGAUAAUAUAGCUCUUCGGAGUCUCUAUACAGGUGGUGCAUGGUUGUCGUCAGCUCGUGUCGUGAGAUGUUGGGUUAAGUCCCGCAACGAGCGCAACCCCUGUUUCUAGUUGCCAGCACAUAAUGGUGGGAACUCUAGAAAGACUGCCGGUGAUAAAUCGGAGGAAGGUGGGGAUGACGUCAAAUCAGCACGGCCCUUACGUCCGGGGCUACACACGUGUUACAAUGGGGGGUACAGAAGGCCGCUACCUGGUGACAGGAUGCCAAUCCCAAAAACCUCUCUCAGUUCGGAUCGAAGUCUGCAACCCGACUUCGUGAAGCUGGAUUCGCUAGUAAUCGCGCAUCAGCCAUGGCGCGGUGAAUACGUUCCCGGGCCUUGUACACACCGCCCGUCAAGCCAUGAAAGCCGGGGGUACCUGAAGUACGUAACCGCAAGGAGCGUCCUAGGGUAAAACUGGUAAUUGGGGCU